rnacentral:rRNA from 1 species
AUUGAACGCUGGCGGCAGGCCUAACACAUGCAAGUCGAGCGGCAGCGGGAAAGUAGCUUGCUACUUUUGCCGGCGAGCGGCGGACGGGUGAGUAAUGCCUGGGAAAUUGCCCAGUCGAGGGGGAUAACAGUUGGAAACGACUGCUAAUACCGCAUACGCCCUACGGGGGAAAGCAGGGGACCUUCGGGCCUUGCGCGAUUGGAUAUGCCCAGGUGGGAUUAGCUAGUUGGUGAGGUAAUGGCUCACCAAGGCGACGAUCCCUAGCUGGUCUGAGAGGCUGAUCAGCCACACUGGAACUGGGACACGGUCCAGACUCCGACGGGAGGCAGCAGUGGGGAAUAGUGCACAAUGGGGGAAACCCUGAUGCAGCCAUGCCGCGUGUGUGAAGAAGGCCUUCGGGUUGUAAAGCACUUUCAGCGAGGAGGAAAGGUUGAUGCCUAAUACGUAUCAACUGUGACGUUACUCGCAGAAGAAGCACCGGCUAACUCCGUGCCAGCCGCCGCGGUAAUAC